rnacentral:rRNA from 1 species
GGGAUGAGCUGUGGAUAGGGGUGAAAGGCCAAUCAAACACCGUGAUAGCUGGUUCUCCCCGAAAUGCAUUUAGGUGCAGCGUUGUGUGGUCCGUGUCGGAGGUAGAGCACUGGAUGGUCUAGGGGGCCUAUCAGCUUACCGAAACCAGCCAAACUCCGAAUGCCGGCACGUGGAGCGCAGCAGUGAGACGGCGGGGGAUAAGCUUCGUCGUCGAGAGGGAAACAGCCCAGAUCAUCAGCUAAGGCCCCUAAGUGAUAGCUAAGUGGAAAAGGAUGUGGAGUUGCGUAGACAACCAGGAGGUUGGCUUGGAAGCAGCCAUCCUUGAAAGAGUGCGUAAUAGCUCACUGGUCAAGUGAUUCCGCGCCGACAAUGUAGCGGGGCUCAAGUUAUCCGCCGAAGCUGUGGCAACUUUUUUUGAGUUGGGUAGGGGAGCGUCGUGUUCGUGGUGAAGCAGCCUGGUGAUGGGUUGUGGAGUGGAUGCGAGUGAGAAUGCAGGCAUGAGUAGCGAAUGACGGGUGGGAAACCCGUCCGCCGAAUAUCCAAGGGUUCCAGGGUCAAGUUAAUCUGCCCUGGGUGAGUCGGGACCUAAGGCGAGGCCGACAGGCGUAGUCGAUGGACGACCAGUUGAUAUUCUGGUACCGGUGUAGCACCGUCCGUGUCGAGGUGUGUGAUGCUAAGCGUGCGAGUGUCCUGGUGAUCCCUUCGGGGUGAUCUUGUGGCGUGAGUGUGUGAACCGAUCAUGUAGUAGACAAGCUGCGGAGGGACACAGUGAGGUAGCUCGUCCCCGGCGAUGGUUGUCCGGGGCUAAAUGUGUGGACUGUCUGGUAGGUAAAUCCGUCAGGCGUUGAGUUGAGGCAUGAUGGCGAGCCAUGUUUGUGUGGUGAGCGAGUGAUCCUGUGCUGUCGAGAAAAGCUUCGUGAGCGAGGUGUGAGCCGCCCGUACCCUAAACCGACACUGGUGGAUUGGUAGAGUAUACCGAGGCGAUCGAGAGAAUCAUGGUGAAGGAACUCGGCAAAAUGCCCCCGUAACUUUGGAAGAAGGGGGACCUGAGCUGUUGCCGCCACGUGCUGGUGGUUGCGGUGAGGGGCGCAGAGAAUUGGGGGAAGCGACUGUUUACCAAAAACACAGGUCCGUGCGAAGUCGUAAGACGAUGUAUACGGACUGACUCCUGCCCGGUGCUGGAAGGUUAAGGGGAACUGUUAGCUUUGGCGACGCGGUGAACUUAAGCCCCAGUAAACGGCGGUGGUAACUAUAACCAUCCUAAGGUAGCGAAAUUCCUUGUCGGGUAAGUUCCGACCUGCACGAAUGGAGU